GACUUUAAGAGGAGAGAGAGGGAUUGUUUUGAUUCUUCAGGGAGCGCUUUUUUCUGUUUUGGCGUUGGCUAUGGCCCACAGUAGCCUGUGUUACCAUUCCUAAUAAACAGCCGGUAAACUGAAUACCGAACGCCUCUGUCUUCUGUGGAGGGACGAUACAAUACAAAGCUCUCUGUAUGUGGUCUGUUUAGCUAACCUUGUCAUGCAUUUUAAAUGCAGUCAGGGCAUCUCAGCUGUUUACCCUUUAAAUCAUAAUUUUCUUUAUCAAACUUUCUUGUAUGUCUUGGUAAAAAUGGUGGUGAAGUACAACCAGCAGCAGAACUAUAUCAAGCUGGAUGCCUUGGAAGGACAGUUUGAAUUUCUCGAAUUCCACGAAAAAGGUGUUCAGUUUUAUUGUAGCUUCUGAUAGGGAAAAAUUUUAGAAGCAGAUUUGUAUUGUUUUAAACCUUGCCUUUAGCAAACUGUUUUGUAAAUUAAGGAAACAUGUAUUGUAUAUGUACAUAUAUGUAUAUGUAUAAGGUGAGUAUAAGGUUUAGGUUCUGCAAGGGAAGAAAUGUACCUAUUUAAUGGUUACUAAGUGGUGGCUUAAUGCAUUUAAAAUGGACAGUCUUUACCAGUGACCUAUACAAAGUGCUGCCUCAAAACCACAUGAAUUUUUAUCUUACAGUUAUUGAGAGAUUUUUCGUGCCCCCUGAUUCAGAAGUCAUAUACAGGGAUGCAACAGGGACAGAAGCUGAUGUGGAAAUAGUCAGGGCCUUGUUGGACAAGGCAAUGUUGUGCUGACUGUCAGAAGUCAGCGUGAGCUUGAAAGGCAGGUUUAAUCAGUCUGUUGGUGAAGACAUACUACAAGAGUAUGAAACAACAGAAAUGCUAACUGAUGCCACAAGAGGACAAAUGGUUAACAUCCUGGUGGCUCACAUGAUUGUGAGUGGGUAUAUAUGUGGGUAUAUGUGUUUCAGGGUUUCUUUUUAUUUGUGGCAAUUUUCUGCAUACAUUUUGAUGACUAAUUUAAUAUCUCCUCUCAGACACCUCCCCACAAAAGCAGUCAGAGAGAAGUAUCCUCUUGGUAUUGUGAUGCUGUUCCCUUGCCUGAAGAAUCCAUAUUCUAAGAAAGGCUAUGAACACUUCUAUGAUGCUGCAAGCAGCACAGGAUACGUUUCUUGGCAUCUGAAAACAGUUCAAAGAAAAAUUUGGCGAAGAUCUGCGGUGCCACAGAAUAGCUCUGUAGACCUUUUUCCAGGAGGCCCAAAUUUCCAAAGGACUGUUAAUGUUGACAGGCAGCUUGAUGGGGAUACUUGCCAAGAGGUGUAACAAGAUUUCAUUUACCUGUUUGAUGACGAGACAUCCUCUAGACUGUUUCAGAAAUGGGACGAUGAGCUAAGCAGCUCACUUCGACACUAGAGAUGCAUCACUUGGUGCAGUCGGCAGAAAGUCCUCCAGGAAGUGAUCUUGAUGACUCAACAAGAAUCCAUCCUGUUUGACCACCUGAUUGCCUGCCUCACAGGGUAAAUUGGCUGCCAUGAUGCUUGGGCUACAGGGAAACGCUGCCAAAGUGUAUCGCUGUGUGGCUUGUUCAGCCACCUUUACUGGAUUGGCCUCAUUGCUAGUACAUCAGGCAACCCAUGCCAGCCCACCCUCCAAGGUCACCUCCCCUCCUCCAACCCAGCCUAACAUCAGCCCACAUGAAACGCCGUUUGCAAGUACAGACUCAUCCAUCGAGCACCUAAGCUCGCCAACACUCUUGCCUGACAGCCCUACACCUUCUUUCUUUAUUUGUGAUUGUGGAGAGGAAUUUCAGGACUUUGGUCUUAUGCUGGAGCACAAACGUUCACAUAUAUCUCAAAUACAGCUGCUGCAGCCCCUGGAUAGUAACAUUGUUCUCCCCAGUGCAACAGAUUGCAAUAAGGAUUUUCCAACCCAGCGUGUAUCAUUCACUCCUGUAACCCAGUCCAGUUUGGCCCUUGCUUGUCCCUCUACCUCCAAGUCCCCAGCUGUUGAAUUACCUACUUUAACAGCCCAAAAAGCAGAUGUAAGCCUGGAGGACAAUAUUGCCAUAGUAACCGAUCCUCAAGGCCAGUGUGCUCCCCCUGAAAAUGAUAGUGAGGAGCAACUUCAGAACAUGCCAUCCACUGCCGAGCAAAUAACAGAGACUGUAGAGGAAACUAAUUUCGAGGAGAACACAAAUGCUGUCCGCAGCUGUGAAAAAGGAGAGAAUUUGCCCACAAAUAACAUCCUUAUGAAGCUGCUCGCAUCAGCGUACAUGAAACACUUACCCCUUCCUCAGAGUCAGGAUCAGAACGAAAACACAGUUAUCCCCAAGCAGGAAGCUGUACCCGUGGAUAUAACACCAGGAUCAAAAACAGAAGCGGCGCCAAUCAAUGAUCUGUCUAUUGCACAGUUGAGGCGACUCCUCGCAAAACCCGAUAUAAAGACAAAGGCUCCAUCCAUUAGCAGAAUUCUUGAGUCCAGUAAGAAGAGGGUUGUCUCUCUGACUAAGACUUUAUCUCCUGUUGUAGUUCUCGAGACUCGUCAAAAGCUCAUGGAUCCUGUUGGUAACGGAACAUAUGGGAAAUACCAGUGUGGCCGCUGUCGUAGGGUUUUUCAGAACCUGGACAGAUUGACAGAGCAUCAUUUUUUACACAAAAAAGAGAGGAUUAAGUGUUGUCGUCGAUGCAAACAGCUGAUCAUUGGGAGACUGCCUUUGCCUGACAAUCAUGUGUGCCCUCAGUUCGGAAACAGGGCUCUACCGCCAUCGAGCGCUUUAAAAUCCAAGUUUCCAUUUGCACAGAAAAUAGUGCCGUUCCACAGUCUCAACAAUGCGAAAAAGGUUUUCUUCUGUCCAAUGUGCAAGCACAGCUAUGCACGGAGGUGGAACCUCAAAACGCACAAGUGCCAAGGUCCAAGGUCAGUCCUCUCUCAGCAGAUCAAUCCCUCAAUACAGAAGAUGCUAGCACUGCAGUCCACUAACAGCAUUGCCAGUGAUGGUGUGGAUGAAGUCAGUGCUGCAUCCCAGAAUUCCAAGAGCAUUGCCGUGGGCACGGAAGUUACUGGCCGUAUCAAGGUAGAGGUGACCUCUCCAAAUGCAGAGCAGUCUGCAGUUUCACAAUUGGCCUGGGCUCGCCCAGCACAGAGCUUUUCCCCAUUCUCCCUGAAAUCUCCAGUGAUGGAGCAGCACAAGGAUAAUUCUGUGUGUAGCAUUUCACUCCAGCAAGGAGAAGAAAAUAACUGGGAUGCAGAAGCAGCCAAUAGUGACGGUAGUAACGAAGGGCAGUGGACGAUGCCUUUGGAUGAUGAAACGCAGGUGUUCAGUUCUGCAGAGAAGGGUGUUGAUGAUGAAGCGAAGAACUCCUUUUCAGUCGAACAUGGUCUGCGCUAUUUCGUCCGGGAUGGAGUGAAACGAUACCCGUGCAACAGAUGUCAAAAAACCUACAGCCGUGCUUCAACUUUGAGGCGCCACCUGCGACUCUGUGGUUUCAGGCCACGUGGGUUUGGAGCUAUAGCACAGGGUGGUAGUCAGGGUUUGAUUACACUGAAUGCCAAUAAUAUCAAACCAAUGUUUUCCUGUUUUGUCUGUGGGAAAACCUUCAACCGCAAAGAUAACAUGAUGGUUCAUAGAAAAAGAUGUCAGUUUCAACGAACCAUGGCAGAUGUGGAAAGAGGGACUGUGCAGACGAGCUUGCCAGGCAAUGGAUCAGCAGAGCCAGCAAGUCAAACCCAGGAGGAUGAUGGAGGAAACUGGGGCAUCAUGUCACUGCCGUCUGUACUUCCAAGGAGGGUGACGUGUGAGUGUGGGGUCGGAUUUACGUCUCCGAGACUUCUCUUGGAGCAUUUGCAGAAGCAUGCUCAAGAAUCGUACACUUGUCCAACUUGUGGAGAAACAGUCAAUUCCUGGGCAGACUAUGAAGUUCAUUUGCAGAUUCACAUGCAUCCUCAUCACCAGUUACUGAAGGGACUACAGCCACAGCGAUCACAACCACUGUUGAUUCGAUUUCAGCAGCAGCAACCUCCACCGCCGCAGCAGCAACAGCAACAACAACAACAGCAGCAGCAGCAGGUUCAGUCAGUGCACCCUCCUCCACAGAAGCAAUCACACCCAGAGCCACUACCAAAUCCACCAAAGAAGCAGGGGAGGAUUGUGUGCACACGAUGCGGGAAUACUUUUGCAACUCGCUGUUCCCUCCGAAGGCACAUAUCAUGGAAUCGAUGCAAAGGUGCACGGGUUACAAAUCAGUUUGCAAGCCCACCCAAAAGCGUGCACUGUUCCCACUGCAACGCUGACUUUCCAAACACCAUCAGUCUGAUUUUUCACCAGAGGAGCGGUGCCUGCAAGCCUGCCAUCAAGCCUGUCCGCUGUCCUGUUUGCCUCCGCUGGUUUGGUACAGUGGAGAGUUUGCAGAAACACCUGCUGACUCACAAACAGUCUGAAUCGUACCGAUGCGACGUCUGCCAGGGAACAUACCCAAACCUGAAAUCACUCAAAAACCACCGCAGGAGGAUUCAUCGCAUCAUGGCUGGGGACAUAAAUCCAAAAACACAAGAACAGCUUACAUCUUAACAACAUUUUUUAUAAUUGUGUCUUUCUUGAGAGUGUUGGAUUAAGAAAUGAGCUCUUUUUUUAUUAUACUGUGUUCUUUUUGCUUUUUUGUUUUUAAACUUUACAGGAUGUUGUACAGCUACAUAAGGUGUUUUUUUAAAGUGCGAUAGUAGCUUAACCCUCUUUAAAAAUGUUAAAAAAACAAAAAACAAAACAGACAUACUACACAUUUUAGUUUUACUAAGUUGAUCCUUAUUUUCCCUGUGCUCAGUAGCCUGUAAAUGAUUGAAUAUUUGAUAACCAAACUUUUAUCAUCGGGUUGGUGCUGUAGCUUGUUGUUGUUCUUGGUGUUAAUAAAGAUACCAGUAUGUGAAACAGAAAAGUUGUGAACUCUCUCAAUGGACAUGUUAAGUAUAUUGACCAAACCUUAUCAAGUAAAGGGUGCUUACUUCAUGUCAUCACAGUUUGAUAUUUUAUGCCACCUCCAUCAUCCUAUGUGGUCUUUUGGAGUAUUGUAUUAAUAUUUCUGUAACUUAAGGUUUUCAUGAAUGUGAUGUACCAAGAUCAUUAGAUUGCUGCUUCAUACUUAAAUUGUAGGUACCCAAUAGAAAGAAAACAUAUCUGAGAUUUGCAUAUUUAUGAGAGAAUACCAAUUUCCCUCCCAUUUUUUUUAUUUCCUUAAUCUGUGUGGUCAGUUAUAGCUCACUUUGCAUAUUACAUAAGUACUAAGUGGCUUACUUACCAGGCAUUACAGCUUUUCUAAAAAACAAUGGAGGAGCUCAAUCCCGCCACAAUUACCUGGACUCAAGGCUGCUGUCUGAACAGGCCACGUUAAAGUGUUUGUGGUAUAAUGGUAAUCAGAAUAAAUCAACAUGGUUGACAAAUGAAAAGUACAUGAUGUGGGUGUGUAGUAAAGUUAAAAUGCUGUGAUCUACACUUGAGAGCACAGUGCUCAAAAGCUGUACAAACGGGAUUUCAAGCAGUUUAUUUAAUCCCUACUUGAGGAGAUUUUAACUUUAUCAAAUGACCCUCAUUAGCAGAAUUAGAAGUGCUUAAUAUCUGUGUGUCCAAGGCAACAUUCUAGAGCAAGUGGCACUGAGUCUGCUGCCAUUUCCAAGGUCUGGAUUGAACAUUGUAAGUCAGUGCUUUUCUUUACAGCGUGAAAUCUACAAUUCACUGACAUAAACUGCAGCAAAUGCAAAAGUAGAUUAGUAACAAUCAGUAUAGGUAUUAGUUUAAGUAAAACUCACAGGCUGUGCCUGCUGUCGGAAGGUUUAAUAACAUUCGUGUUAACUUGUUUGUGUAAGACUCACUUAGGCUGGAUUAAACUGGAUUAAAUGUACAGGUCUCACUGAGCUAGUGACAUGGAUAAAGGUCUUACCGCACACUCACCAGACACUAUUAGGUACUUUUGGUGAAGCCAUUUUUGCUUUCAGAAAUGCUUUAUUUCUUUGUCUCAGAGUCAACAAGGUGCAGGAAACAUUCCUCAGAGAUUUUGGUCCACGUUGACAUGAUAGCAUCAUAGUUGCUGGAGCAACUGUGUGAUGCAGCUUUGAGCUGCACAUCCAUCAUGUGAAUCUCCUUUUCUCCCACAUCCCAAAGGUGCAGUGAACUCACUGCCAUGUUCAAGAAACCAGUUUCAGAUCAUUUAAACUUUGUGAUGUGUUAUUCUGCAAGAAGCAGACAUCAGAAUAUGGGUACACUGUGGUCACACAGGGUUGGACAUGGUCAGCAACAACAGGUAGGCUUUGGUGUUUAAAUGGUGUUCACUUGAUACUAGUAGGUCCUAAGUAUACCAGUAAAUUAUUCUUUACACCAUUAUAGCAGUAUUGGGGUUUUUAAGGAGAAGGAAAUAUUAGCAAUAUUAUGAAAGAAUGGAAAAGAUACUGAAACGAAAGGAGUAAAGCUUUGACUUAUGAACCUUUGUUGUUGUAAAGUUUGAUCUCAACAAAAUCUCUCUUUAUCAAACUAUUUGUCAAAGUUCUUCAGGCAAUAACUAAGAACUUAGUUUAUGUAAAAUGAAAUUGUAAAUUGUAUAGAAAUUGUAUCUAAACCUAAAUGUCCAAAUCUAGUUCAGUAUGGUCAAAGUUGAAGACCUCGUAUACAAAUAAAUUCACUGUGUAUUUAGAUUAUUCUCAUAUAGUUCCAUAUAUAAUUUAAUGUGUAGAUGUGUUUGGAAACUUGAGACAAACUUCUAACUUUUUACUUAUAUAAAUAAAACCUAAUAAAGAAAUAAUUAUUUUGAAACCAUAUGAAUAACAACUAUCAAACCCUACAGCGAGUCAACAAAUCCAAUAUAUAUAUUCAAUAAAUACAUUGAAAUAAACAAAGUAUGAUAGAUUAGUAGUUUUCAGCAUAAUUCAAAUUAUGGACAAAGCCUACAAGAGAUAAUUACCACUUAAUAUCCAGAAGCUGUUUCGUAUUGGUAGAUUUGGCAAGUUUUUCACAGGCACAGCCCACGUGCUCAGCUCUACUGCUAAAUCACCAAAUAUGGCACCAUUUAAGAAGAAAUUAAUAGGCUUCCCAGACAAAAUUAUUCAGUACUGUGAUAACUGUUUACUGCGAAGAUGCUUUAGAUUUAAAGAGUUCAUCUGUAGUUGUAAAAUUGACAUCAGUGAUCUAUUAUUUCUUUGUUUUUCUUCUCUUUGUCUUGAUUAAAAGGUGAGGUGAGUUGUAGUUGAAUUGAUUUUCUUGAGGUGUUUUAGCUUUAGCAUCAGCCUACACCCUUUCGGUUUGUUCUGUAAAUUGAAUAAAGAUAGGGUAUCUAAAACUUUAUUGCUGGUUUUGUUUGUUUGUUUUGUUUUGUUAUGUUUUGGGGGAUUUUCUGAUUUUCCUGAUUUUUAUUGUUAUACUCGGUGAAUGCGUUAAGAUUCCCAGUUGGUGGCGCUAGUGCAACAUAACAGCGUGUGAUGUUUAAGAGAAGAAGAUGAGGAUUUCUCUUCUUUUUUCCCCUUCUUCCCUCUUGUUUGUUCGGUGUGGUUACAGGCUAACUGCUACCUAUUUGUGCUACAUACCGGCGACUCAGCCCAUUUGUUAAUGUCUCGCAAAACGACACCAGACAAACAGUUUGCAGCUUUUCCAAGGACCAGCGUGCUCCCCGUUAGCAGUGAACACACUAAUGCUCAGUGUGAGGAUGGAGACAGGAAGGCAAAGCACCCUGGAUUACAACUUGGUCACAGACCUGAUGAAUGGAGGGCAGUUUUGCUUCAGCUGUGAGCAGAUAUUUGCAAACAGGAAAUGCCUGGAGGAGCAUAUGUGUUCAUCCGCGAGUUUCAUCUGCUCCUGCGGGACCGAGUUUACUGAGUACAAGCACAUGCAGGAGCACAGCACUAUGCAUGAGCCCGGGCACCAAGUGCUUGAUCACAAAACCAUACGGAACCGCAGGAUAGAGAAGCGCAUAGAGGAGGAGGAGAAACUUAAAAGGAUACAGAAGGGUGAGGUAAUCUGGAAUACGCCUAAAAUGACCAAUGCUUGGACAAAGGCCAGUGCACCCCCAGUUUCUUUGCCAGUGACUCCUGUGCUGCAGGUACCCAGUGCGUCGGUGUGUGUGCCGCAGCUUUGCGUGCAGCCUGCAAAAAUUUCACAAGUGCCUGAGUUGAACCCAUCAAUGUCACAAGCAUCUUUGCUCCCAAACCCCGCAUCCUCAACAACAGACAUGCAGAAUAUUUUCGCAGAUGUUGGCGCACCGACAGUGGAUGUCUGGACGCUUUAUCAGCCAGUUGUGUUGCUUCCAACAGUGCGCAAGUUUAACAAGCAAAAGCCAUACUCUUGUGGUAAGUGUGGGCAGUGUUUUUUCUCAAAGACCUUACUCAUCUCCCACCACAACUUUCAUGUUCCUGACAAAAUUUCGGGCUGCAUAGGAUGUGGGCUGCUGCUCUCCAACAAAAAGAUCGUGCCUCGCUACCAUGUAUGUAACUCAUCAAACAACGGUUCCAAAUUCAGGCUAGUCACAGCAAAGCCACUUGGUUUCAAGACUAUGAACGUGACAAGUGGGGCAAAGACUCUGAGCGCCCUGGGUCUUCCGACUACUUCCUCUCUGCAGGUGACAAAUCAGAAUAUUGGUGAACCGCCCCCCACUUCCAUCUUGAAAAUUAAGAGUGUCCCUUUCAUUACCAAACAGGGGGUACGUGUCACUCCAUUAUUGCAGUUUAAGAAUGCAUCCAACCCCAACAUCGGUGUGUCCUUUCCAUCAAAGCCUCAGACUCAAAAUCCUAGUUUGCAGUUAAAGAUGCCCACAAACUCUGCAGGGGUGUCUUCUGCAUCAAGUGGCUUCCCAUGCCGAGUCUGUCAUAUUUCUUUUGAAUCUGCUCAACUCCUUCAGAGGCACAAGUGUGUCAAAGCACGGGAGUUUAUGGCCCAACACGUGCGAGGUGGCAUGCAGCAGUUCAAAAAGACGAUGCCAGCGGCAAGCCCAGUUCCUGCUCAGGUAAAUGGCAAAAGGAAAUACAUUAUACCACCUUCUGGUAAUGUGAAGAAGAGCCAAAUCCUGACUGUAAACUUGGAAAAAGGGCCUGUCAACGGGAACACGGGAGUAGAUAGUGAUGAUGACUGUUACAUCGUUGAAGGCGGACCAGACAAACCUGCUGAGAUGAUUUACCAAGUAAUGUCAUCUGUACCAAUCAAGACUUGACAAAACUAGUGAGGCACAUCCAGUCUGCAUGUCAUGUAAAAUAUGGACCAAGCGCAUAGAGAUGGCGACAUCCUGGUUGAAAGGAAUCUGCUCAGUUCACUGCACAGGAGCAUGAUGCUUCCUGGUUUGCUCAAGACUGUUUUAAGAUAUAGAGAGUAGUGAUAAUAAAAAUGCAUCUUUAAUUCACCUCGAUUUCUUUUGUUAAUGCAUUUCGAAUUUAUGAAAGUAUGAAGGUGGUACCUCUGUGGUGGUUGCAGAAGAUGGAAAAAAAAAAAAAAGUACGUAUGUGGGGGUUGAAUCAUGUUUGGUGCCCUAACCGGCACUAUUAUAGUUUUUGCUCUGUUUUUAUGUUUUUAGUAUGAUCAGAAUGUUGUGAAGCUGUGGGGAUUGGCCAAAAUGCCCAGUGUGUUCAUACCAGCUUUGUAGAGACUUUUAAGAAUACAAUAUAUAAUGUAUUAAAGUAUAUUUUCAAACUCA